AAGCUGCGAUAAGUAAUGUGAAUUGCAGAAUUCAGUGAAUCAUCGAAUCUUUGAACGCACCUUGCGCUCCUUGGUAUUCCUUGGAGCAUGCCUGUUUGAGUAUCAUGAAAUCUUCAAAGUAAAUCUUUUGUUAACUCAAUUGGUUUCUACUUUGGUAUUGGAGGUCUUUGCAGCUUCACACCUGCUCCUCUUUGUUCAUUAGCUGGAUCUCAGUGUUAUGCUUGGUUCCACUCGGCGUGAUAAGUUAUCUAUCGCUGAGGACACUGUAAAAGGUGGCCAAGGUAAAUGCAGAUGAACCGCUUCUAAUAGUCCAUUGACUUGGACAAUACUUUUAUGAUCUGAUCUCAAAUCAGGUAGGACUACCCGCUGAACUUAAGC
rnacentral:misc_RNA from 1 species